rnacentral:rRNA from 1 species
AACGAACGCUGGCGGCAUGCCUAACACAUGCAAGUCGAACGAGACCUUCGGGUCUAGUGGCGCACGGGGGCGUAACGCGUGGGAACCUGCCCUUAGGUUCGGAAUAACUCCCCGAAAGGGGUGCUAAUACCGGAUAAUGUCUUCGGACCAAAGAUUUAUCGCCUUUGGAUGGGCCCGCGUUGGAUUAGCUAGUUGGUAGGGUAAAAGCCUACCAAGGCGACGAUCCAUAGCUGGUCUGAGAGGAUGAUCAGCCACACUGGGACUGAGACACGGCCCAGACUCCUACGGAAGGCAGCAGUGGGGAAUAUUGGACAAUGGGCGAAAGCCUGAUCCAGCAAUGCCGCGUGAGUGAUGAAGGCCUUAGGGUUGUAAAGCUCUUUUACCCGGGAUGAUAAUGACAGUACCGGGAGAAUAAGCUCCGGCUAACUCCGUG